AGAGUUUGAUCCUGGCUCAGAACGAACGCUGGCGGCGUGCUUAACACAUGCAAGUCGAGUGCGCGUCCCGGUAGCAAUAUCGGGAUGGCGCACGGCGCACGGGUGCGUAACACGUGGGUAACCUGCCCUUUGGUGGGGAAUAACCCCGGGAAACCGGGGCUAAUUCCGCAUAAGAUCCGCAAGGAUGAAAGCCGCAAGGC
rnacentral:rRNA from 1 species